rnacentral:rRNA from 1 species
UACAUGGGGUGCAAACGUUGCUCGGAAUUAUUGGGCGUAAAGCGCGCGUAGGCGGUUACUCAAGUCGGAUGUGAAAGCCCUCGGCUUAACUGAGGAAGUGCACCCGAAACUGAGUAGCUAGAGUACUAAAGAGGGUCGCGGAAUUCCCGGUGUAGAGGUGAAAUUCGUAGAUAUCGGGAGGAACACCGGUGGCGAAGGCGGCGACCUGGGUAGAUACUGACGCUGAGGCGCGAAAGCUAGGGGAGCAAACGGG